rnacentral:rRNA from 1 species
GACGAACGCUGGCGGCGUGCUUAACACAUGCAAGUCGAACGGAAAGGCCCUGCUUUUGUGGGGUGCUCGAGUGGCGAACGGGUGAGUAACACGUGAGUAACCUGCCCUUGACUUUGGGAUAACUUCAGGAAACUGGGGCUAAUACCGGAUAGGAGCUCCUGCUGCAUGGUGGGGGUUGGAAAGUUUCGGCGGUUGGGGAUGGACUUGGGGCUUAUCAGCUUGUUGGUGGGGUAGUGGCUUACCAAGGCUUUGACGGGUAGCCGGCCUGAGAGGGUGACCGGCCACAUUGGGACUGAGAUACGGCCCAGACUCCUACGGGAGGCAGCAGUGGGGAAUAUUGCACAAUGGGCGGAAGCCUGAUGCAGCAACGCCGCGUGCGGGAUGACGGCCUUCGGGUUGUAAACCGCUUUCGCCUGUGACGAAGCGUGAGUGACGGUAAUGGGUAAAGAAGCACCGGCUAACUACGUG